UGCCAGCAGCCGCGGUAAUACGGAGGGGGCUAGCGUUGUUCGGAAUUACUGGGCGUAAAGCGCGCGUAGGCGGCGCAUCGAGUUAGGCGUGAAAGGCCCGGGCUUAACCUGGGAACUGCGCUUAAUACUGGUGUGCUAGAGUCCGGAAGGGGGGCGGAAUUCCCAGUGUAGAGGUGAAAUUCGUAGAUAUUGGGAAGAACACCGGUGGCGAAGGCGGCCACCUGGUCCGGAACUGACGCUGAGGUGCGAAAGCGUGGGGAGCAAACAGGAUUAGAUA
rnacentral:rRNA from 1 species